rnacentral:sRNA from 1 species
UUAAAAAACCACCACCAACAUUGCUUUCAGAGAGAAUUUUUGGCUAAGUCCUAUUCAAACCAAUUUCUUGGCAGGAAAGGUGCAGCCCUAUGGAGUUAGCCAUGUAAAAGGAGUUUGAAUAGAAGGGGACAUGCUCCUUUUCUUCCCAAACAGAAUCACCUUUGGAUGCAACAGUGGCUGCACGUCCAUGCUUGACUUACAGUCUUUCUGUCAUAUCUCUACCCUAACCCUUCACACCCACCCCAGUCCCCUGCCAUGUGACAGAAACUUAAUACUCUUUCUUGAUUCCCCAGUUCUGCUUGCUGAGCUGUGGGAUACUGACCUUUUUGGCUGUCUUGGGCCGCUACGUCCCUGGGCUUCUGCUGUCCUACUUGAUGCUUGUCACUGUCAUGAUGUGGCCCCUUGCUGUGUACCACCGACUGUGGGAUCGAGCAUAUGUGCGGCUGAAGCCAGCUCUGCAGCGGCUAGACUUCAGUGUCCGUGGCUACAUGAUGUCCAAGCAGAGAGAGAGACAAU